UACUAAUUUGAGGAGGGAGAAGUGUGGCGUUAAUGGCAAGUCUAAGCGGCGAAGCUCUCUACUUAAUUUACAGAGCUCUGACUUAUGGCGUAUCGCCGUUGCUUCGCAUUCAUCUCCGGUGGCGCAAAUUGCGAGGUCGUGAGCACCAAACCCGGUGGCGCGAACGCCUCGGAUGCCCCUCGGCAGCGCGCCCCGCCGGUCGCCUUAUUUGGUUCCACGCCGUCUCAUUAGGGGAGGGACUGGCGGUGAUUCCUGUGAUAAAGUGUUGCUUGGAGAGGAGCCCGGAUUUGACAGUCUUGAUGACUACUACAACAAGUUCGGCAUUUGAAGUGAUAAAGAACAGACUUCCAAGCAAUGUAAUAUAUCAGUUUGCUCCACUUGAUAUGCCAUCUGCUAUGGACGCUUUCUUGCAAUAUUGGAGGCCAAAUGCACUCAUUCUAAUGGAGAGUGAAUUGUGGCCAAAUAUCAUUAUUGGUGCUGCAAAAAAGGGUAUUGCAUUGAUAUUGCUUAAUGCUCGAAUGUCUGCAAAAUCAUUUCAAAAUUGGUCUCACCCACUCAUUUGUCCAUUGAUCACAUUGAUGCUGUCAAAAUUUUCAUUGAUUCUCCCACUGAGUCCAACUGAAGGAAUUCAAUUUCAGCUAUUGCAAGCCCCACCUUUUAUCGUGCACUAUUGCGGAGACCUUAAAUGUGCAAUUGAAAAAUUUGACAUUUCUGAAGAGGGCAAGAAAAGUAUGGAAGAUUUUCAAUCUCAGCUUUUGGAUAGAAAAACAUGGAUGGCUUCUUCGAUUCACAACGGCGAAGAUGAAGUUAUUCUAUCCGUCCACAACUCACUGAAACAGUUCCAUCCAGAUAUAUUAACUAUUAUUGUGCCACGAAAGCCGCAUCUUGGGCAAGACAUUGCACUGAAAUUGCGAAGGAGUGGAGUAUGUGUAGCAUUGCGGUCUCAAGGCGAAAAAAUUACUCUUGACACUAAUGUUUUUGUGGUUGACUCAUUAGGUGAAUUGAGGCUCUUCUAUAGAUUAACUCCGAUAGCUGUAAUAGGAGGUUCAUUCUUACAAGGAUGCACCGGCCAUAAUAUAUUGGAAGCUGCUGAAGCUGGAUGUGCUGUUUUGACUGGUCACCAUUCUGGCCACUUUUCCCACAUGGUGUCAGAAAUGCAAGGGGUGAACCCCCUUUCUGUUCUGCAGGUUUCUGGAGAAAUGCUUGCAGAUGCUGUUGGUGAGCUCCUUAGUAAUGCCAAAGUUCUGGAAUCUCGUCGAAUGGCUGCUAAACAAGCAUACCGUACUUUAUCAAACGGAAUUGUUGAAAAUAUUUGGCAGAUGCUAGACAUCCACAUACUCAGGAAAUCAUUAUGAUGAUACUUAGAGGCUACUCUAAGAAUUGAAGACCUUAGGAACUCUUGAAGACGAUGCCUUAAUUUAAAUACUUACAAUUUUUAUGACUGAAGAACCGAAUCAAUAAUGUUUGGUUCCAAAUCAUAUAUAUACAUGUAGACGGUGAUCGAUGUUCUGUUGAUUUUCUGGUGUUUUGAAGAAUCAUGUACAAGGACAAUAUGUCUUGCCAGAGGAUGUUUCAUUGUCGGGUCUCGAUCAAAUGGCUCGCAGCAUCAGUUGCAGGUAAUAUGAAUAGCUUAGACUAUAGUUUGCUUCCCAGAUGAAUACUAACUAAGGUAAAGAUCAUAUGCUGAAUUGUUAUUGUUAUUUUUUAUUUGUUUUUCUUACAGUGAAAUGGUAAUAAUCCAUUAAUCCUUAACGAAA